rnacentral:lncRNA from 1 species
AUGGGAAUGGCAGAGCUCCAUAGGCCCCUGAAGGAUGGGCUUCUUCCAUCCCCACACCCCAGCCCUGCUCUCCUGGGUCUGCAUUUCUGUCCCAACGGGGUGUUAAUGAGACAGACACAGACUCGGUUUCAAAUUCUGCUUCUGCUUCUCACCAGCUGUGACUUUGGCAAGUUCUUUAAAUUCCUUGAGACUCUGCUCCCUUUGGGCAUCAUGGGACGACGGACAAGGCCGCCACAGCAGCUACCUGGUGGAGGUGGUGGUCAGAAUGGAGAGCAGGCUUCCAGGAGGGUGAAGAGCAGGGCUGCCAUGUUGCUUCAGACCAUGGUAAGCCAGACAUGUGCGGGAGACACCCUCGUGCUCAUGUGGUGGCUCUGGGUGGGUGUGGUGCCGAAAGUGCUCUGUGCUGGGGAGUAACAGGAUGCCCUGGGCAUCAGAAGGCUCCAAGGCAGGUUCAAGUUUCCCAGGACCAACUUUUUCCACUUAUCACUUUGAGAAGGGCUGAUCCCAGGAGACGGUGUGCAUAGUAACGAGUGAUGAUUUCUUUUUAAGUUUUUGAUUGCAAACAACAGAAACAUCCUGUCUAAUGUAACCAAUGAUUGAGGAAUCUCAAUUCAUUGAGACGUAAACACCAAAUGUUUUAUUUCAUCUGACUACCUGUGAUUCUCAAACUUUAAUGCACUUAUCAAUCACCUGGGGAUCCUGGUAAAAUGCAGAUUCUGGUUCAGCAGGUCUGGGCUUAGGGACAGAGGUUCCGCUUCUCUAAGCAGCCAGUGCUGCUGGUCUGUGGACCUCAGUUGGAGUAGCAAGGAGAUCUGCUUGCCCCUUUGUGGUUCUGUAACAUGGUCUUUGUCGCAUUUGAACACUUUCUGACACUUGCAGGUCCUACUCCUUUGGGAAGUCAAAGCUUAUUCCUGUCCAUUAUUUAACACACCUCAGUUCCAAACUUUGGACAAGUUCUUCUCUUUCUCCAGUCCAGGCUAGAGCUGUGGCCCUGCCUCUUAGACGGAGGAGAGGGUGUGUGAUCUGGUCCUGACAUUUGCCCUCACCUCCCCUCCACCAAGUGCAUCUCAUCAGGGGUUCUGGGGUGGGGAAGAGAGAUGGGGGAGGCCAAGGCUUCUUCCUUAGCCUCCUGCGUUCGGCCACGGGCAGUGUCGCUUACUUUGGUUCAGGCUGGCUCCAGCCAUUGCUGGGGCCUUUGCUGGUUGCCUCCAUGACAGUGCUGUGUGGGGUUUUGGGGCAUUGUUCACGUAGCCCCUCCAUCUCUUGGGAGCCUCCCAGAGGGGCAGGCUUGCCUCCUUUUGGCUCCUGGAGGUAUAUCC